UCCAGGCCUGCUCUACAAAUGUUGUCCCUGCUGCUACUGCUGCUCUUUGGGCCCAAGCUGGCUGAGGCCUAUAGCAAGAAGGUGCCAGCCACGUGGCCUUGGCAGGCAAGCAUCUUCAUGGACACCCGGUACCGCUGUGAGGGGGCCCUCGUCUCCCAAGAGUGGGUGCUCACAGGAGCCAACUGUUUUGGCAGCUGGCCUUUGUCCCGCUUCACUGUGACCCUGGGUCCAGAUCGACUGGCACUGGACACUUAUAAAAACAAGUCAAGCGUAAAGGAGCUGCUUCUGUCUCCAGGAGGGUCUGGUGGCCUGGCCCUGGCACGGCUGGCAAGCCCACCACCUCUCAGCAGUGCUGUGCAGCCUGUCCCUCUGGCCACCCAGCCCAAACCGCUUUUCCCAUGGCAGCUCUGCUGGGCCCAAGGGUUUGAGCCUGACUUUGAUCCUUACAUCCCACCUCGAGAGCUGCACCGUGUCCUGCUGAAACCACUGCACCUCAGCACCUGCAAAGACACCUUUCGUACUCAACCUGACUGUCCUGACCUGAAGGUCAGCCUGCCUAAGGGCUCCCAGUGUGCCAGGCCCCCAGCGGGCCCACCUGAACUGGUGGUGAGGAUUCUAGCCAGCCCUAAGCAAGCUUGAGGUACUCCUUCCUCCACAAUCCCUCCUAACGCCAGCAGACUUGGUAGAGCAAGGCCUGGACACUCUCCCACCCUACCCGAGGUCUCCCACUCUAUAACACCCAGGUAUCUGAUGGCACCCCCUUGGUCUGUUUGCAAGCCAGCCGCUGGCUGCUGAAGGGUGUGAUGACCUGGGGUCCCUGUUUGGGACCUGGCCUCCCUGAAGUUUACACACCUGUGUACCCCUUCAUUUUCUGGAUCUGGGAAAAGGUCUUUAAUACCACCUUCAACACCAAGGCCAAGGCUUCCUUUUCUGAAUCUGGGAAAAGGUCUUUGAUACCAUCUUCAACACCAAAGCCAAGCAGCACCCUUUAGCCAGACCUAGAACCAGGUAGAGAAAGCAGUGAAGGUCUAGUCUGUGGGGUUCUAGAUCUGAAUCCUGGCUCGGCUAUUUACCUGAGGGUGUCUGGAUCGCCUCUUCUCUCCGACCCUGCUUCCUCCUUUGUGUUAUGGACAUGUAUUCAACUAUUCCUUCUUCCAACGAACUGUUACCAGUGCUAAAGAUGCACCUGGCCCCCUGGAGUCUGGGGGGCAGAGGGGAGGAGAGCACUAGCCUGAUUUAUGACAAUAAAAAAC